rnacentral:rRNA from 1 species
AGUCGAGCGAGUCUGCCUUGAAGAUCGGAGUGCUUGCACUCUGUGAAACAAGAUACAGGCUAGCGGCGGACGGGUGAGUAACACGUGGGUAACCUGCCCAAGAGAUCGGGAUAACACCUGGAAACAGAUGCUAAUACCGGAUAACAACAGAUGAUGCCUAUCAACUGUUUAAAAGAUGGUUCUGCUAUCACUCUUGGAUGGACCUGCGGUGCAUUAGCUAGUUGGUAGGGUAACGGCCUACCAAGGCGAUGAUGCAUAGCCGAGUUGAGAGACUGAUCGGCCACAUUGGGACUGAGACACGGCCCAAACUCCUACGGGAGGCAGCAGUAGGGAAUCUUCCACAAUGGACGCAAGUCUGAUGGAGCAACGCCGCGUGAGUGAAGAAGGGUUUCGGCUCGUAAAGCUCUGUUGUUGGUGAAGAAGGACGGGGGUAGUAACUGACCUUUGUUUGACGGUAAUCAAUUAGAAAGUCACGGCUAACUACGUGCCAGCAGCCGCGGUAAUACGUAGGUGGCAAGCGUUGUCCGGAUUUAUUGGGCGUAAAGCGAGUGCAGGCGGUUCGAUAAGUCUGAUGUGAAUGCCUUCGGCUCAACCGGAGAAUUGCAUCAGAAACUGUCGAGCUUGAGUACAGAAGAGGAGAGUGGAACUCCAUGUGUAGCGGUGAAAUGCGUAGAUAUAUGGAAGAACACCGGUGGCGAAGGCGGCUCUCUGGUCUGUUACUGACGCUG